rnacentral:rRNA from 1 species
UACGGGGGGGGCAAGCGUUGUUCGGAAUUACUGGGCGUAAAGGGCGCGUAGGCGGUCCGCUAAGUUAGAUGUGAAAACUCUGGGCUCAACCCAGAGCCUGCAUCUAAUACUGACGGGCUAGAGUUCUGGAGGGGGUAGCGGAAUUCCUGGUGUAGCGGUGAAAUGCGUAGAUAUCAGGAGGAACACCGGUGGCGAAAGCGGCUUCCUGGUCCAGCACCGACGUUCAGGCACGAAAGCGUGGGGAGCAAACAGG